GGUAAAAAAAAGGUAAGCUACUAAGAGCGAAUGGUGGAUGCCUUGACUGGUAAAGGCGAUGAAGGACGUACUAGACUGCGAUAAGCUACGGGGAGCUGUCAAGAAGCUUUGAUCCGUAGAUUUCCGAAUGGGGCAACCCAAUGUAUAGAGAUAUACAUUACCUAUAUAGGAGCGAACGAGGGGAAUUGAAACAUCUUAGUACCCUCAGGAAAAGAAAUCAAUAGAGAUUGCGUCAGUAGCGGCGAGCGAAAGCGCAAGAGGGCAAACCCAGUGCUUGCACUGGGGGUUGUAGGACUGCAAUGUGCAAGAGCUGAGUUUAGCAGAACAUUCUGGAAAGUAUAGCCAUAGAGGGUGAUAGUCCCGUAUGCGAAAAACAAAGCUUAGCUAGCAGUAUCCUGAGUAGGGCGGGACACGAGAAAUCCUGUCUGAAUCCGGGUCGACCACGAUCCAACCCUAAAUACUAAUACCAGAUCGAUAGUGCACAAGUACCGUGAGGGAAAGGUGAAAAGAACUGAGGUGAUCAGAGUGAAAUAGAACCUGAAACCAUUUGCUUACAAUCAUUCAGAGCCCUAUGUAGCAAUACAGGGUGAUGGACUGCCUUUUGCAUAAUGAGCCUGCGAGUUGUGGUGUCUGGCAAGGUUAAGCAAACGCGAAGCCGUAGCGAAAGCGAGUCUGAAUAGGGCGCUUAGUCAGAUGCUGCAGACCCGAAACGAAGUGAUCUAUCCAUGAGCAAGUUGAAGCUAGUGUAAGAACUAGUGGAGGACUGAACCCAUAGGCGUUGAAAAGCCCCGGGAUGACUUGUGGAUAGGGGUGAAAGGCCAAUCAAACUUCGUGAUAGCUGGUUCUCUCCGAAAUAUAUUUAGGUAUAGCGUUGUGUCGUAAUAUAAGGGGGUAGAGCACUGAAUGGGCUAGGGCAUACACCAAUGUACCAAACCCUAUCAAACUCCGAAUACCUUAUAUGUAAUCACAGCAGUCAGGCGGCGAGUGAUAAAAUCCGUCGUCAAGAGGGAAACAACCCAGACUACCAGCUAAGGUCCCUAAAUCUUACUUAAGUGGAAAACGAUGUGAAGUUACUUAAACAACCAGGAGGUUGGCUUAGAAGCAGCCAUCCUUUAAAGAAAGCGUAAUAGCUCACUGGUCUAGUGAUUUUGCGCGGAAAAUAUAACGGGGCUAAAGU
rnacentral:rRNA from 1 species